ACUCUAGUGAAUGCCCUUCCGAAAGGGCCAUCAUGCAGCAGGCCUUCCCAUCGGAGAGCCAUGGUCCCAGCCAAGGCAGCUUUCAGGGGUUGCUCCACCACUCUAGGGAGGCGGCCCAGAUCUGUCUCUCCCAAACAGUGUCUGGGUUUGACACUUCCUGAGAAAGCAGAGAUUGUUCCCUUUGUAUGCCAUGGCUCUGGAAUGCAGCUCUUCCUGUAAGGAAGACAAUGGUCUUUAUGGGAAGGCUAGGACUUGAAGGAGACGGAGUCUCGCUGUCGCCCAUUUUGAGAUUGAGGGCUACACUUAAAAAUAAAUGUAACCAUUGGCUGAAACCAGACCGCUUUCUGGAAGGGAGUCUUUUGGGGCUUCCUUCAAUGAACAGACAGGAGUGUAAUUAGUUAUUUGAUAGCAAAUGGGUUCUCUCAGGACAUAAAUACAAUUUAAAGCAGUUUGUUCUAGUGUCUACAGUUUCAACAUUGCCCGUUGCAUUCAUGUUUCUACUCUUAACUUGCCAAGUAAACCCAUAGUUUGUUAGUUCCAACACUAAUCUCUGAUCAGUCCCAUUUAUUCUAAAUUUGUUUUCACAUAAUGGCUUCCACAACUCAAGGUAUUUUCUAUUCUUUGCUCUCUGGAGACUGAGAGGUUAUCAGUUGUGGAAAGCCUUCCAGGAAGUUUUCCUCUAAUGUAGUCCUGGGGAAUACAGAAGCCGCCUCGAAUGAAUGGUCGGACUCACCUUUUCCCAGGACCAUAAAAAUAUAUAUUUUUGUUUCCUACCCUAAACACAGUGUAACUCACUCCUUGUUUUUCCUGGGAGAUUGUGGUAACACGGAGAGGCCUGGGGGGUCUCUGGGAUAAAGCAGCUUGUAAAACGACUAUGGGGGGAUUCCAGAUCUGACUUAAUCAACAUUUCUCAAGAUCCGUAGACCAAUAAAACUGUUUGCUUUCUUACCACAGUUCCACCGGCUGAUUUAUUUCUCUUACUUGGCUGAAGCUGUCACUGCUCAAAGCAGUUCAUUUGUCAGGUCGAGAGAAUUACAAUUCACAGGACCUCUUGCUAGUGCUAUCUCAGUUUAUAAAUUUCACGAAUCACAAUUUAUUGCGGUGCACCC
rnacentral:lncRNA from 10 species